GCGGGCGUGGUGUACGGUACACGGCUGUGUUCAUUCAAGUGGUUGAGGCAAAAGAGUCAAACAGCAGAUCCGGGUUCGACUCCCGGCGCCCGCA